GUAGGGAAUAUUGGACAAUGGGGGCAACCCUGAUCCAGCGACGCCGCGUGAGUGAUGAAGGCCUUCGGGUCGUAAAGCUCUGUUGCAGGGGAAGAACACAAUGACGGUACCCUGCUAGAAAGGAUCGGCUAACUUCGUGCCAGCAGCCGCGGUAAGACGAGGGAUCCUAGCGUUGUUCGGAAUUAUUGGGCGUAAAGCGGGUGCAGGUGGCUUGGUAAGUCAGAUGUGAAAGCCUGGGGCUUAACCCCAGAAGUGCAUUUGAUACUGCUGAGCUUGAGUGCUGGAGAGGCUAUUAGAAUUCCUGGUGUAGUGGUGAAAUACGUAGAUAUCAGGAGGAAUACCGGAGGCGAAGGCGGAUAGCUGGCCAGACACUGACACUCAGACCCGAAAGCGUGGGGAUCAAACAGGAUUAGAAACCCGUGUAGUCC
rnacentral:rRNA from 1 species